rnacentral:rRNA from 1 species
AUUGAACGCUGGCGGCAUGCUUUACACAUGCAAGUCGAACGGCAGCGCGGGGGCAACCCUGGCGGCGAGCGGCGAACGGGUGGGUAAUAUAUCGGAACGUACCCAGAAGUGGGGGAUAACGUAGCGAAAGUUACGCUAAUACCGCAUACGAUCUACGGAUGAAAGUGGGGACCUUCGGGCCUCAUGCUUUUGGAGCGGCCGAUAUCUGAUUAGCUAGUUGGUGAGGUAAAGGCUCACCAAGGCGACGAUCAGUAGCUGGUCUGGAGAGGACGACCAGCCACACUGGAACUGAGACACGGUCCA